GACUAGUCCCCAGACAAAUGAUGCAUGGAAUUUGUAUCUGUGUGUUGCCAUGCCGACGCCGUGCACAGAUUGCUCAAGAUUCAGCAGGACUUGGCAGGGACCUUUUUGCUUCCCAGAGACUCAAUGACAGUUUCACCUACAGAAAAAGAGUGAUGCCAAAGCAGGUCGUUAGAGUUGCUACGGUGAUGGAAGGCUAUCACCAAAAGGCUCUGUUAAAAACACACCACUGCCCCAAGUUUCAACAUGGGAGAGUAUGGUGUCAAGAUAACAGUCAUAUCAUCCGUCAUCGCAGAACAUCUACGUGGGCUGCCAAGAAAAUGAGACUCUUUUAUCUCUGGCUUCUCUAAGUGCUUGCGUUUUAGCGAUUGUUUCUCAUAACGUGCUUGAUUGUUUUCUGAAACCUGACCGUCAGCAGCUCCAUUAUGUUGUCACCUCAACCUAAAGUGAAUUGAAGGCUCUCAAGGAAGCAGGGCAGCCCGGAGAAACCAGGGGAAGGCAGUGGAGGGAGUGUCUUCCAGAGGCACUGGGGAAGUGGUGCUUAGAAAGUAGCACAACAAUAGAGAGGCUGGAAACAAAACCUCAGGCGGACAGUGAAGAAUCUGUGAGAGGUGCAUUGCACCACGCUGCUCCUCUGUGACCUUUUGAAUCAAAACGUUUGGGGUAUUAGUCAGAUAGGAUGUGAAAUUUUCCACGGCAUUAGGUAUUCCUUGCACUUAAAAACAUUCUACAUUUGUUAGAAGCAGGAUGAAUGUGACUUUAAAUAGCAAGUAGGCAGCUAACGACUGCAUCUCAAGGCAUGUUUUUAUGGAACAUAGCCAUGACUUGAACUAUAAACAAGACAAAUUAAGGGCACAAGCCUACUAUUUCAAUGAAAUAACUCACCCUUUUAUUGGGAAUAAUUUACAUAAGCUUUGAGGGAGAUUUGUCUCAUCCAAGCAGAACUGACACAUAGCUAGAUAUAGAAGACGCAAUGUGUACUUCUGGUUUUAAAGAAAGGUAUGUUGAUCCCUGCACAAGGCUAUGAAAAUGAGUCUCCUGAAAACAGAGAGAUGUCAGUAAACUCAACACCUGAUGAACACACAUCCGUUCAGGACAAUUAGCCUGCUCAGAUCUCAGUUUCCGACUUAACAAAGGGAACCGCUGACUGAAAACGGGAUUUCAGUGUUUCUGAAAACAUUACUGCUUGUGGACCACAUAGCCACUGUGGCCCAAGGCAGGAAGCGAACUGAGUCAUAUCCCUUUCAGUCCUUUUUCCUUAAGAUGCUGAUUUCCACUACACCUCUCUGCUGCAACAGUGGAACAUGGCUGGCAUGUCAUUUUUAAGAAAGAGCAAGCCUUUAAAGCAUCCAGUCAUGUCCUGGCACCUGCAGGAGAGCUGGCUGGAUAAGAACCUCUGAGUGGAUCUUAAUCUUGGCAAAAGAAAAAAUAAAACUUUGGACAAAAUCA
rnacentral:lncRNA from 1 species